rnacentral:rRNA from 1 species
AGAUUGAACGCUGGCGGAAUGCUUUACACAUGCAAGUCGAACGGCAGCACGGGACUCAGGCAACUGAGCCCUGGUGGCGAGUGGCGAACGGGUGAGUAACAUAUCGGAACGUACCCAGUCGUGGGGGGAUAACUCUCCGAAAGGAGAGCUAGUACCGCAUACGUCCUGAGGGAGAAAGCGGGGACCUAAGGGUAACUGAGGCCUCGCGCGAUUGGAGCGGCCGAGUACGUCGGAUUAGCUAGGUUGGU